rnacentral:rRNA from 1 species
GCACAAGCAGUGGAGUAUGUGGUUUAAUUCGACGCAACGCGAAGAACCUUACCAAGUCUUGACAUCCUGCGACGCACAUAGAAAUAUGUGUUUCCUUCGGGACGCAGAGACAGGUGGUGCAUGGUUGUCGUCAGCUCGUGUCGUGAGAUGUUGGGUUAAGUCCCGCAACGAGCGCAACCCUUAUGGUCAGUUACUACGCAAGAGGACUCUGGCCAGACUGCCGUUGACAAAACGGAGGAA